GAAGGAUCUCUUCCCUGCCUGCAGACAGUGAAGGGACAACUGUAUAUGGUGAUGGGAACAAACCUGUGAAUAGACUGCACCAGUGGUUAUUAACCCCAGGGUCUUAGAGUGACUUUUUGUGAACCUAGCAGAGGAAGGAGCCAAGGGGGCCCUGCUAUGUUCUGAUACACAUGGGGGCUUGUCUGGGAUCCCAUGACAGAGCAAGUGUUUGGUAGCCCGGAGAGAGACAAGACCCUGUAAUGGCUGAUCAAGCAGCAGGAAGAGGUGUAGAAGGCAAUGCAGUUUUCAGCAAGCCCACCAGCUGGAGAGACAGGCCUUCCUCACCUGGCAGGCAAAACAGCAGAAGAGCCUGCAGGACUUUAUUCAAGAGUAGGCUGGCAUCCAAUAGCAGCUCCUGCAGAAAGUGGUACCACCUCUUCCAGAAGACUGUUUAUCUGAGGGUUACUAAAUGGGAGCUGUGGUACAUGUGGACUGGAAGGAUCAGACUUUACCAUUAUGGCUACCACACCCACCAUUCCCUGGAGCCACAGAAUCUACCAUGACACCACUGGGCCUCUGUCAUCCUGAUCCUAUAAGGCAUAUUGUCUAGACUUGCCAGAGAAGGGAAACAGAUGACAUUGACAUCAUCUUUGGCUUCAGCUAAAUCCUGAACAAUACCUGGGAUGUGAGACUUGGGAUCCUGCUCUCACCCUCUCCUUUGUCUGUCAGUUUCCCUUCUUACUUUUUCUCCCCUUUUCUAAGUCUUCCUUUUUG